rnacentral:lncRNA from 1 species
ACUCUACCUCUGAAACUAAUAAUACACUAUAUAUUAAUUAAUUGAAUUUAAAUAAAAUAAAUUGUUUUUUUAAAAAGGUGUGUCUUAUCUUAAAAAAACUUCGAAGUCAUUUAAAGAGGUGGUCCUACAUAUUCUCAUGUGUAUUUCAUAUGCUAGGCUCUGGUAUUCUGACUAGUAUUCUGACUUAAUACAUCUCUUUCCGUUUUUAGUUGAAUUGAAAAUUUUCAUUUACUUUGUUUGGGUUUAAAGUAGCAGCUUUCAAACAAGGGCCCAUACAGACCUGGAAGAGGACAUUGCAGGAGCUCCAAGGUCACGGAAACCUUUAAGGGAAUCAAUUUCCAGAUCCUCAGUCUCUGCACCGGCUCUUUCUGAAAAUGAAUCUCCCAGAGAGAAUGGCUGUGGUGGGCCAGUUAUCCUUCCCCACUGCCCUUCACGAUCACUCUCCUUUAUUCUAUAAAGAAAAGCAUGCGUCUGACCCAUCUCUAAUCUUAUUGUACUGCAGAACAGUGAUAUGUGAGACUGCAAGGCUCCUGCGGAAGGCUCCCGUAAGAGAGAGGCAGAGCAAACUCGGGGUUUUUCACGGAGAUGUAAGUAGGCUCUGUGCAGCAGUCCCAGAAGACGGUCCCAAGAAGACUUUCAGGUCCCUCCAGGAUAGGACUGAUGUCAUCUCCAUCACUUUGAGAGCCCCAGGCUCCUCAUCCAAUAAGCAUUUCUUGAGUGCCCGUUAUGAGACAGGAGGUCUCCCUGGUACAUGGCGCCCUUCCAUCUAGAGAUGGCAGCAAAGACAAUUUCCUUCCUGCAUAAAUAAAUAUGUGUGGAGAAUCAAAGCCUUUUUUUUUUUUCUUUCUUUCCUUCUGCAAGCUUCUCUUUCCCCUCUCUUGGUCCUGCAGAGCGAAGGAAGGGCAAAAUCAGGCAUGCUGUUUUCUGAAUCUUGCAUGUUCAGUGUGAAGCUAAGGCUGAUGUAAGUACCACUGCUCAGUGCUAAGGUGAUUGCUGUUGGGUGCCGUGUGGCAGACAUUGGUGGUUUGAUUUUUCUUUUCCUUUCUUUCUUUCUUUCUUUUUUUUUUUUUUCUUCCUUUUGCUUUAAUCUUUUCACAGUCAGGAAACAAACAAGGAAAAAAUUGGCGUUGUCUCAAUUACCACAUCUCCUACAAGCACUGCUAUUCUUUUAUGCCUCAUGGCCUCCCAGCAGCAGCUUGCAGGAGCUUUUGGUCAUUAAGCUGUCUUGAGCCUGUAAACCACAAGAUAUUUGUGGCUAUUCUAGGAGAACCAGAGCCCAAAGAUAUCAGUCAAUAGCUUUAGUUAGAUCCCAAAGUUCUAUCAAUCUUAGGAGACUCACUUGUUCAAAACACUGUCUCUGUGGAAAUGUUUUUGGUAUGGUUGUAUAGACACCGGAAAUAUUUGCCUUUUGAUAAAAAUCAUUUAUAUUUGGAGAAACAAUUGUAUUUUUGUAACUUCUAAUAGCCCAUUUGGGAUAGUGUUGCCGAAAGUAGGGAAUGAGGUAUAGUGAAAAGCCCAGAAGGUGAGGCCCAUGGCAUCACUUAAAAACUUUCUGAUUGGAGAGAGUUACUCUUUUUUUUUUUUUUAAGAUUUUAUUUAUUCCUUUGAGACAGAGAGAUAGAGAGAGAGCAUGAGCAGGGGGAGGGGCAGAGGGAGAAGCAGACUC